rnacentral:rRNA from 1 species
GUAGUCUCGCACAGAUGCAUAUCAAUAAGCGGAGGAAAAGAAACUAACAAGGAUUCCCCUAGUAACGGCGAGUGAAGCGGGAAGAGCUCAAAUUUGAAAUCUUAAAGGGUUUCCCUUUAACGAAUUGUAGUUUAAAGAAGUGUUUUCUGUUGAGGUUUUGGUAAAAGUUCUUUGGAAUAGGACAUCAUAGAGGGUGAGAAUCCCGUAUUUGACCUUUACUUUCAACUUUGUGAUACACUUUCAAAGAGUCGGAUUGUUUGGGAAUGCAGUCCAAAAUGGGUGGUAAAUUUCAUCUAAAGCUAAAUAUUGGCGAGAGACCGAUAGCGAACAAGUACCGUGAGGGAAAGAUGAAAAGAACUUUGAAAAGAGAGUUAAACAGUACGUGAAAUCGUCAAAAGGGAAGCGUUUGACACCAGUGUUGUUUUUCUGAAAAUCAAUUAAAGAACUGUUUAUGCUAAGCUGUUUAGACUUUAUCAGCUAACUGUUUAGUUUUGAGCUUUUCUUUAAUGCACUUUUCAGUUAACAAGUCAACAUCAAUUUCUUUUGCUGUAAAAAAGCUUGAGGAAGGUGGCUUGAGAUUCGUCUUAAGUGUUUAUAGCCUCUUGCCUAUGCAGUCGGAGAGAUUGAGGUCUGCAGCGUAGAUCCUUCGGGGCUAAAUGCAUUUGUGCUAAGUUAUAGCAUUUUAUAGACAACUUGUUGACUAUGAUUUGUCUUGUAGCUUACUCGCUUAUGUUAUUUUACCUACGCUUAGGAUGUUGAUCUGUAGUGCGUGCGC